CCCUCAGUGCCAUGAAUAAUGUAGGACCUCUGCCCGUUUCUUUUCCCGGUCCGCUAUGAUUACAGCUCGGAGAAUUCCUACCACUACUUUAGUCUCAAGACCGAUCAAGAAAAGCCGAUAAUCCAACUGAACAUAAUCACGUAUGUGGAGUACUCCUUUCCGGGUGUGCUUGAUUAUGCAGUAUCAUUUGGCUUUUGGGACGGAUUGUGGCGGUGAGUAGUGAGUGAGAGGUGGUUUGGUCUCUGCCAUCAUGGUGAUCUAAAGCAAGGAGAUCUCGAGACAUGACUUUCUAGGAGGCUUGCACUUUCAUGUCUCACUUGCUCCCUUGCCCAUAAAGCUGUUCCUCCGCUCAAAAUCGCUUCAUGUGGUCAUUGUGACUUCAGAUCCCAGAAGGCGGUGCAUAUCUCUUAGCGGAGAUUGUUGUUUUGGUCAGGCUCGGCUAAAUCAAAGACCCAGAUAUUAUGUCUGAUUGAUUAACUGGUAUGUAAAGGAUGCGAAACUCUAGGAAACCGUCUUAAAGAUUCCAACCAGAGCCUCCGGACAGCGUGUAUAUGCAAAAUAGAAACGCGAUGGACAAGUGGGGGAUAAACUUUUAAGGGUAUUUACUUGUUCAAUGAAAUCCAUAGUACAGACAAUUACUAAAGCAAAACUUCAUUACGGACAGGAGGAAAUGGAAGUUCAAAAUUCACCACUAAACUGUUCAAAUAAAAGCAUACAAAUCUAUUGUUACAAAAGGUUGUGACUUGCGAGAAAUAUUUUACACUGAUUCCUCUGUGCAGGCAGGACACGUAACAGUACAAGUUCUUGCACCAGACAUUAAUUUUAAACAACUAGAGACCUUCAUCAGCUAUCCAGAAGCCGAAUUACUCGGACUCUUCCCCAGAUAAGAGAGCUGCUUCUCUCCGGCCCUUGGACUAUGAGGUCCUCUUCCACCGUGAGGACUCUUCUCACCUCUUAACUCACUCACACGAGGACUGAAACUGGGUCGAGGGCUCUGGAGGGUGCUCUUAGAAUCAUGUGCUGGUGUUGUGGUGGAGCUUGUGAUUUUCGGACUAGACACAUGCCGGACCUCACCGCGGCUUCGAGUGAUAACCUCAUCUAAUAUCUCUCCAGCCCCACCA